GACGAACGCUGGCGGCGUGCUUAACACAUGCAAGUCGAACGGAAAGGCUCUGCUUUUGCGGGGUGCUCGAGAGGCUAAGGGGUGCGAAACACGUGAGUACCCGUCCCUUGCCUUUGGGAUAGCUUCAGGUAACUGGGGCUAAUACCGGCUAGGAGCUCCUGCUGCUAGUUGUGGGUUGGUAAUCAUCGGCGGUUGGGGAUGGACUCGCGGCCUAUCAGCUCGUAGGUGUGGUAGUGGAUUACCAAGGCUUUGACGGGUAGCCGGCCUGAGAGGGUGACCGGCCACAGUGGGACUGAGAUACGGGCCAGACUGCUACGGGAGGCAGCAGUGAGGAAUAUUGCACAAUGGGCGGAAGCCUGAUGCAGCAACGCCGCGUGCGAGAUGACGGCCGUCGGGUUGGAAACCGCUUUCGCCUGUGACGAAGCGUGAGUGACGGUAAUGGGUAAAGAAGCACCGGCUAACUACGUG
rnacentral:rRNA from 1 species